AUUAAACUGAAGAUGAAGGAAAAUGCCAGUUGCAGGUGUUUGUCCAGGAGUUAUGUAGAAGGACCGAUUUGGAAACUCAGGAUGAGGUAACCUGUGCUAAUACCUCUGCUAUCUACAAGAAUGCUUGGUGGUAGUAUCAGAAUUACCUGA